rnacentral:rRNA from 1 species
UGUGUUUCAUGACUGGGGUGAAGUCGUAACAAGGUAACCGUAGGGGAACCUGCGGUUGGAUCACCUCCUUACCAAA